GUGCUCCCUUCAGCACCACAAAUACUAAAAUUGAACCUAUACAGAGAAGAUUAGCAUGGCCCCUGUGCAAGGAUGACAAAUUUGUGAAGCAAUCCAUAUUUAU
ensembl:snRNA U6 U6 spliceosomal RNA